rnacentral:lncRNA from 1 species
AUGGGUUGCCAUGCCCUCCUCCAGGGGAUCUUCCUGACCCAGGGAUCCAACCAACGUCUCUUGUGUCUCCUACAUUGGCAGGCUGAUUCUUUACCACUAGUACCACCUGGAAAAGCUGUGUGUAGUUUGGGGAGCCCAGUCAUGACAUUUUUAUUACCACCACGAAGUUCCCUCAAUCCCAUUUGCAGUUACUCUUUCCUGCUGCCCCAAGCAUCAGGCAACCACUCUAAUAUAAUACUGUCAGUUCUAGAAAUUCAUAAACUGGAAUCAUACUGUGUAUGCUGGCUGUCUGGGGAGGCCUUACAAAUAGCUGUGAAAAGAAGAGAAGCGAAAAGCAAAGGAGAAAAGGAAAGAUAUAAACAUCUGAAUGCAGAGUUCCAAAGAAUAGCAAGAAGAGAUAAGAAAGCCUUCUUCAGCGAUCAAUGCAAAGAAAUAGAGGAAAACAACAGAAUGGGAAAGACUAGGGAUCUCUUCAAGAAAAUCAGAGAUACCAAAGGAACAUUUCAUGCAAAGAUGAGCUCGAUAAAGGACAGAAAUGGUAUGGACCUAACAGAAGCAGAAGAUAUUAAGAAGAGGUGGCAAGAAUACACAGAAGAACUAUACAAAAAAGAUCUUCACGACCCAGAUAAUCACGAUGGUGUGAUCACUGACCUAGAGCCAGACAUCCUGGAAUGUGAAGUCAAAUGGGCCUUAGAAAAUAUCACUAUGAACAAAGCUAGUGGAGGUGAUGGAAUUCCAGUUGAGCUAUUCCAAAUCCUGAAAGAUGAUGCUGUGAAAGUGCUGCACUCAACAUGCCAGCAAUUUUGGAAAACUCAGCAGAGGCCACAGGACUGGAAAAGGUCAGUUUUCAUUCCAAUCCCAAAGAAAGGCAAUGCCAAAGAAUGCUCAAACUACCACACAAUUGCACUCAUCUCACAUGCUAGUAAAGUAAUGCUCAAAAUUCUCCAAGCCAGGCUUCAGCAAUAUGUGAACCGUGAACUUCCUGAUGUUCAAGCUGGUUUUAGAAAAGGCAGAGGAACCAGAGAUCAAAUUGCCAACAUCUGCUGGAUCAUGGAAAAAGCAAGAGAGUUCCAGAAAAACAUCUAUUUCUGCUUUAUUGACUAUGCCAAAGCCUUUGACUGUGUGGAUCACAAUAAACUGGAAAAUUCUUCAAGAGAUGGGAAUACCAGACCACCUGAUCUGCCUCUUGAGAAAUUUGUAUUCAGGUCAGGAAGCAACAGUUAG